ACUCAAAUGAAUUGACGGGAGCCUACACAAGCGGUGGAGCAUGUGGUUUAAUUCGAUAAUACGCGCAGAACCUUACCAACUCUUGCCAAUUGAAUUAAAAAUUAAAUUUAAUUCAAACAGGCGUUGCAUGGCUGUCGUCAGCUCGUGUUGUGAAAUGUUUGGUUAAAUCCUUUAACGAGCGCAACCCCUAUUAUUAGUUGCUAAUUAAUGAAAUAUUAAAGAACUCUAAUAAAAAAGUCAAUGAUAGGUUGAAGGAAGGUAGGGAUGACGUCAAGUCUUCAUGGCCCUUAUGAGUUGGGCUACACACGUGCUACAAUGAUAAUUACAAUGAGAGGCAAUAAUGAUUCAAAGUUGGAGCAAAUCUUUAAAGGUUAUCUUAGUUCGGAUUAUGGGCUGCAACUCGCCCAUAUGAAGUUGGAAUCGCUAGUAAUCGCAAAACAGCAUGUUGCGGUGAAUAUGUUACUAGGCUUUGCACACACCGCCCGU
rnacentral:rRNA from 1 species